rnacentral:rRNA from 1 species
AUUGAACGCUGGCGGCAUGCCUUACACAUGCAAGUCGAACGGUAACGGGCCUUCGGGUGCCGACGAGUGGCGGACGGGGGAGUAAUACAUCGGAACGUGCCCGCUCGUGGGGGAUAACGAGGCGAAAGCUUUGCUAAUACCGCAUACGAUCUACGGUUGAAAGCAGGGGACUGCAAGGCCUUGCGCGGACGUUGCGGCCGAUGGCAGAUUAGGUAGUUGGUGGGAUAAAAGCUUACCAAGGCGACGAUUUGUAGCUGGUCUGAGAGGAUGAUCAGCCACACUGGGACUGAGACACGGCCCAGACUCCUACGGGAGGCAGCAGUGGGGAAUUUUGGACAAAGGGCGCAAGCCUGAUCCAGCCAUGCCGCGUGCAGGAUGAAGGCCUUCGGGUUGUAAAAUGCUGUUAUACGGAACGAAAAGCCUUCUUUUAAUACAGGAGGGUCAUGACGGUACCGUAAGAAUAAGCACCGGCUAACUACGUG